rnacentral:rRNA from 1 species
GACGAACGCUGGCGGCGUGCCUAAUACAUGCAAGUAGAACGCUGAAGGAGGAGCUUGCUUCUCUGGAUGAGUUGCGAACGGGUGAGUAACGCGUAGGUAACCUGCCUGGUAGCGGGGGAUAACUAUUGGAAACGAUAGCUAAUACCGCAUAAGAGUAGAUGUCGCAUGACAUUUGCUUAAAAGGUGCAAUUGCAUCACUACCAGAUGGACCUGCGUUGUAUUAGCUAGUUGGUGAGGUAACGGCUCACCAAGGCAACGAUACAUAGCCGACCUGAGAGGGUGAUCGGCCACACUGGGACUGAGACACGGCCCAGACUCCUACGGGAGGCAGCAGUAGGGAAUCUUCGGCAAUGGACGGAAGUCUGACCGAGCAACGCCGCGUGAGUGAAGAAGGUUUUCGGAUCGUAAAGCUCUGUUGUAAGAGAAGAACGAGUGUGAGAGUGGAAGGUUCACACUGUGACGGUAUCUGACCAGAAAGGGACGGCUAACUACGUG